CGCACGAAAGGCGCAACGAUCUGGGCACUGUCUCAACGAGAGACUCGGUGAAAUUAUAGUACCUGUGAAGAUGCAGGUUACCCGCGACAGGACGGAAAGACCCCGUGGAGCUUUACUGCAGCCUGAUAUUGAAUGUUGGUACAGCUUGUACAGGAUAGGUAGGAGCCUUGGAAACCGGAGCGCUAGCUUCGGUGGAGGCAUCGGUGGGAUACUACCCUGGCUGUAUUGACCUUCUAACCCGCUGCCCUUAUCGGGCAGGGAGACAGUGUCAGGUGGGCAGUUUGACUGGGGCGGUCGCCUCCUAAAAUGUAACGGAGGCGCCCAAAGGUUCCCUCAGAAUGGUUGGAAAUCAUUCGCAGAGUGUAAAGGCACAAGGGAGCUUGACUGCGAGACCUACAAGUCGAGCAGGGACGAAAGUCGGGCUUAGUGAUCCGGUGGUUCCGCAUGGAAGGGCCAUCGCUCAACGGAUAAAAGCUACCCCGGGGAUAACAGGCUUAUCUCCCCCAAGAGUCCACAUCGACGGGGAGGUUUGGCACCUCGAUGUCGGCUCAUCGCAUCCUGGGGCUGUAGUCGGUCCCAAGGGUUGGGCUGUUCGCCCAUUAAAGCGGUACGCGAGCUGGGUUCAGAACGUCGUGAGACAGUUCGGUCCCUAUCCGUCGCGGGCGCAGGAAAUUUGAGAGGAGCUGUCCUUAGUACGAGAGGACCGGGAUGGACGCACCGCUGGUGUACCAGUUGUUCUGCCAAGGGCAUCGCUGGGUAGCUAUGUGCGGACGGGAUAAGUGCUGAAAGCAUCUAAGCAUGAAGCCCCCCUCAAGAUGAGAUUUCCCAUUCCGCAAGGAAGUAAGAUCCCUGAAAGAUGAUCAGGUUGAUAGGUCUGAGGUGGAAGCGUGGUGACACGUGGAGCUGACAGAUACUAAUAGAUCGAGGACUUAACCUAUA
rnacentral:rRNA from 1 species